rnacentral:snRNA from 1 species
GUCGCUUCUCGGCCUUUUGGCUAAGAUCGAGUGUAGUAUCUGUUCUUACCCAUAGGUUCUUAAUGACUUUUUUUUUCCCUUAGAUUCCAUAUAUAUGUGUUAGCAUACAGUAUUUGUUUUUCUCUUUCUGACUUACUUCACUCUGUAUGACAGACUCUAG